rnacentral:rRNA from 1 species
AGGUAAGCUACUAAGAGCGAAUGGUGGAUGCCUUGACUGGUAAAGGCGAUGAAGGACGUACUAGACUGCGAUAAGCUACGGGGAGCUGUCAAGAAGCUUUGAUCCGUAGAUUUCCGAAUGGGGCAACCCAAUGUAUAGAGAUAUACAUUACCUAUAUAGGAGCGAACGAGGGGAAUUGAAACAUCUUAGUACCCUCAGGAAAAGAAAUCAAUAGAGAUUGCGUCAGUAGCGGCGAGCGAAAGCGCAAGAGGGCAAACCCAGUGCUUGCACUGGGGGUUGUAGGACUGCAAUGUGCAAGAGCUGAGUUUAGCAGAACAUUCUGGAAAGUAUAGCCAUAGAGGGUGAUAGUCCCGUAUGCGAAAAACAAAGCUUAGCUAGCAGUAUCCUGAGUAGGGCGGGACACGAGGAAUCCUGUCUGAAUCCGGGUCGACCACGAUCCAACCCUAAAUACUAAUACCAGAUCGAUAGUGCACAAGUACCGUGAGGGAAAGGUGAAAAGAACUGAGGUGAUCAGAGUGAAAUAGAACCUGAAACCAUUUGCUUACAAUCAUUCAGAGCACUAUGUAGCAAUACAGUGUGAUGGACUGCCUUUUGCAUAAUGAGCCUGCGAGUUGUGGUGUCUGGCAAGGUUAAGCAAACGCGAAGCCGUAGCGAAAGCGAGUCUGAAUAGGGCGCUUAGUCAGAUGCUGCAGACCCGAAACGAAGUGAUCUAUCCAUGAGCAAGUUGAAGCUAGUGUAAGAACUAGUGGAGGACUGAACCCAUAGGCGUUGAAAAGCCCCGGGAUGACUUGUGGAUAGGGGUGAAAGGCCAAUCAAACUUCGUGAUAGCUGGUUCUCUCCGAAAUAUAUUUAGGUAUAGCGUUGUGUCGUAAUAUAAGGGGGUAGAGCACUGAAUGGGCUAGGGCAUACACCAAUGUACCAAACCCUAUCAAACUCCGAAUACCUUAUAUGUAAUCACAGCAGUCAGGCGGCGAGUGAUAAAAUCCGUCGUCAAGAGGGAAACAACCCAGACUACCAGCUAAGGUCCCUAAAUCUUACUUAAGUGGAAAACGAUGUGAAGUUACUUAAACAACCAGGAGGUUGGCUUAGAAGCAGCCAUCCUUUAAAGAAAGCGUAAUAGCUCACUGGUCUAGUGAUUUUGCGCGGAAAAUAUAACGGGGCUAAAGUAAGUACCGAAGCUGUAGACUUGCGCACAACUUAGAUUAUUUAAGUUUAGAAUAUGAGAAACUAAGUUAUAUUUUUACUGAUUUUUAUAGAGUAAAGAUAGAAAUAAAACUUAGUAAAAUCAGUAAAAAUAUUCUUAGGCUAAAGUUAAGUAGUUUAAGUUGUGUGCAAGUGGUAGGAGAGCGUUCUAUUUGCGUCGAAGGUAUACCGGUAAGGAGUGCUGGAGCGAAUAGAAGUGAGCAUGCAGGCAUGAGUAGCGAUAAUUAAUGUGAGAAUCAUUAACGCCGUAAACCCAAGGUUUCCUACGCGAUGCUCGUCAUCGUAGGGUUAGUCGGGUCCUAAGUCGAGUCCGAAAGGGGUAGACGAUGGCAAAUUGGUUAAUAUUCCAAUACCAACAUUAGUGUGCGAUGGAAGGACGCUUAGGGCUAAGGGGGCUAGCGGAUGGAAGUGCUAGUCUAAGGUCGUAGGAGGUUAUACAGGCAAAUCCGUAUAACAAUACUCCGAGAACUGAAAGGCUUUUUGAAGUCUUCGGAUGGAUAGAAGAACCCCUGAUGCCGUCGAGCCAAGAAAAGUUUCUAAGUUUAGCUAAUGUUGCCCGUACCGUAAACCGACACAGGUGGGUGGGAUGAGUAUUCUAAGGCGCGUGGAAGAACUCUCUUUAAGGAACUCUGCAAAAUAGCACCGUAUCUUC